GUGACUAGUGACAGAGAGAGGGAGGGGGUGACUAGUGACAGAGUGAGGGAGGGAAGGGGUGACUAGUGACAGAGUGAGAGAGGUUGUGAUUAGUGACAGAGGGAGGGAUGGGGUGACUAGUGACAGUCACCACCUCCUUCACUCUGUCACUUGUCACCCCCUCCCUCACUCUGUCAUUGUGUCACCCCCUCCCUCACUCUGUCACUAGUCACCCCCUCCCUCACUCUGUCACUAGUCACCCCCUUCCUUACUGUCACUAGUCAUCCCCUUCCUUACUG